rnacentral:lncRNA from 10 species
CAUCCUUAUCCCUGAAAACAAAAGGUCACAGAAGGGAAACUGAACAAACUGGCCUUGCUGAGUUUCCCCAGUUUAUAAUCAUCAUGUCAUACUUUUCACCCUAUUAUAUUUCUCUAUGACUCUCCUCUCUUCAUCAAACCCAGCAUAAAAAUACACAGGUUUAAAAAAUACACAGGUUUAACUGUUUCUUCAGGUAUUUAUUUCCUUAUGAAAGCUCCCAUUUCAUGUAAAAUGCAUGUUAAAUAAACAUGUAAGCUUUUCUCUGGUUCAUCUGUCUUUUGUUAUAGGGGCCUCAGCCAUGAACCUAAGAUGGAGAGAGGAAAAGCUGGUCUCCUCCCCUACAAAGCGAUAGAUGCCUCCAGAUUGCUCGAGGCCACCUGGUUGACUUUUGCCUUGGAGUCGGUCCAGAAAAGCAUUAUUUACCCUUUAAAACAAUGAAAAAUGUGUGUGAGUAGAAAACUUGCUGCAGGGCUGAGAGAUUUCUGAGAAUCUAAUGUGUUGUAUGAACUGACCAUGGGGAUAGCUUCCUGGCUUCAGCUUAGAAGAAAUCCACAGAAACUUCUCUUCACACUAACCAUAUGACAUGCUGUUAACCCCUCUUUACUGGAGCUGGUGCCAAUCUUGGCUCAAGCCAAAGGGGAUACGAAUUCUUAACCUGAGAGUUUCAGGCACUCAUCUCCUGCCAGUUCAGCAAGACCCUAGUUCAAGAAAGAAACUACAGCCCUCAGAAUCAUGCCAGGUAUGAACCUCAGAGGCUGGAGAGAGAAAGAAGCCUCAGCAUGAACCAAAACAUGAAGAAGAACCAAAGAUAGCUCUAUGGCAUUAUUGUUGCAAGAUAGAUGUCCUUCCUAUAUUCCCUGCACUCCACUGCCAGUCUUGCUAAAGUAAACCCCAUACAUGAAAAGCAGAAAUGGAAGAUUAUAAUUUCCACAUGGUGAGGCACCCCUUCUGCCGUGUUUUGCCCUAUUCCCGGAGCCUAGGACACAGCCUUUAUGGAGUGUAGCCUGAUAAUGUAGUUACUGAAUGAAACAAAUCUUCCUGGCACACGUUCUUCACCCCUGAAAACAACAUGGAUGAUGAGUGCAGACUGCAAAACAGCUCACUGGCAAUUGCUCUCAAUUCACUCAAACCCUGCGAAGACUGAUGCCUUGUCAUGAAGACAUAAGAGAGAUAUAAAAGAGCGAAACACCACACAUGAAGCUAAGAACUGUUAGGGAGGAAGAAAAGACGGGAAGAGAGCAACAUACAUCAUCCUAUUACGGAGGCAAGGAAAGGGGAGAAGAGAUAAAGACCAGGAGGGAAACGCGGACGGGAGCUGAUGAGGCAUCACCAUGCAAGAACAUUGCUCCAGAUGGCCGAAGGGAAGGUGCUGGCAUCGCUGCACUCAGGAUUAUUAUCCUAUAACUAGCAAAGCAUAUUUACUAAGGAGAGGCUGGUUUUUCUUCCGUACUAAGAAGGAUAAUUUCAGCUAAUUAAUUUGUUCUGCUGAACUGACAGCCACCGAGGAUGUGUCUGCAUGCCUUAUAAGCAUAUUCUUGGUUCAUUUACUGAGAUCCCACAGAGAAGUUCAAUAUCUAGAGUUAAGCAAAUAAAAAAUAAGUUGUUCUUGUUUCAAGGACCAAGCUCGGGACAUGAAAAGCAUCAAAGUGCUCUAAGCAGGAGGACAAUGACAUGCAACAUCUGAGGCAUUGUUAAGGCCUGGCCUACUCAAUGCAUAUUGUCACACGCCAACCAUUUUCCAGAUACCUAGGUUCAUGCUAAAGGUACAGAUAUCAGCACAGCUCCACCCUGAAAUAAAUCACAGUAUAAUGAGGCAGACACACCCAGAAACAACUCUGACACAGGGCAAAAAGAAAUGAGUUGCUAAACACAAAAUUAAGCUACAUGACAUGGGAAUACAAGGAAGGAAUGCAAACAGGAGAAGGGUGUUCAACACUUUGUGUUUGUGCACAUCUUAUCACUGUGCUAUGCAAAUCUCUACAUUCAUACAGAGCUGCAUACAAACGAGGGUAGGUUGGUGAUAUGAUAAACAAAAUACCAUCCUAGAGAUUGAAAGUAUGGAACUUCCUACAAACAUUGGCCAAGUGGUAUGUGGUAAAUGAGGACAACACUGCAAAUAGCGCCACUGCCUGUGGCCACCCGAUGCAGUGCUCACCCAGGAGGGCUGCUCUGCUGGGGAGCUGCAGGAUGGCACCAAUAGCUCUGCUUCGAGCCCAGGUCAAUAAUAAGAAGAGGGGUUGCCAUUUCCAGCAAGAGGUUGCAAACAUCAUUUCUCUGGGCUCCAAUUGUCUGAUGGUGCCCUGUUCUACAGAAGGGUCAACUAUACAACAGACAGGUGUGUGUAAAGCUGGAUGCUUAAGAAAUGUGACAAGGUUAGAGGGAAAACAUGCUCCAAAGCAAAGUUUCAGUGUGGUAAUUGAAGAUGAACAUGGGGUCAUUUUAAAACCAUGUCUGAAUCCCAACAGAGCAUGUUCCGACAUGGUUCAGCUUGACUGCUUUAUGUAAACAUGAAAAUGCCAUCGCCUGGCAAAACAAACUUCUCCCAGGAGAGCCUGUUCUCUCAACACAACAAGAGGAAAGGGAUAGUGGAAGCAGGAGAGUUGAGACCAUGAAGUCAUGAAGUUCAAGAAUGCCUUCCUUUGAAGGUUUAAUACAGAAAAGCUUUCGGGGGAAGGAGGAGAGUUUAAAGAAGUCCUGGUUCUCCGGCAUCCACAGUAAUACCUUUGCCUUGAAGGAGAAAGAUGGCCUUGGCUAUCAAGAAUGGGGAGAAAAGGCAGAAGCUACCACCCAAAAUUUUCAGAGCACCAACCAAAUCAAAGGAAAUAAAUACUAAUGGGUGAAGUAGAGUUUAAAAAUAACACAAGUAAUGUACACUCUCCCCUUACUAUUGUUUUUAAUUUUUAAUUUUUUAAUUGACAGUUUGUACAUAUUUAUAGGAUACAAUUUGAUAUUUUGAUACAUAUGUAUGUUGUAAAAUGAUCAAAUCAGGGCACUUAGUGUGUCCAUGAUCUCAUGCAUUUAUCAUUUAUUUGUAGUGAGAAUAUUCCAAAGCCUCUUAUCUAGCUAUUUUGUAAGGUACACUAUCAUCUUACUGUCAACCACAGUCACUCCACUGUAUAACAGAACAUCAAAACAUAUUCCUCUUAUCUAAUUGUAACUUUGUAUUUGCUGUUGCUAGUUCUAUCAUUUUAACAGAGAGAGAAAUAAACUUCCAGCUACAACAAUCAUGGAAUCACAGCUCUAUGUCUCCCACCUAAAAAUAUUUCCUACACAAAAUGCAAGGUAGACGUAGGUUUCAAAACUUAUCUGCACUCUAUUUUAUGAUCUUUGUUUUCAUUUUCAUAUAUGUGAGCAUAUUUCUAUUAUGUUAUUAAAAUGUGGUAGUAAUUGCUGCAUGGUAUUUAUUCCAAACUCCAAAACCUUCAAAUCCUGUAUCACUGAACAAACUGUUUCAAAUUUCCCAUUAAUCUUAUGUUAAAAAUAAAC